AAGGGCAUUCAAUCAAGAUGCCUCAUGCCCGCGCUCUACGUGUUCUACCAUUCUCCGUUGCUGCUUCGCUACGAUCUAAUCUCUAGCCGAAUUUGUGCGUUUCUAAUCAAAGUUACACCAUUUCGCCACAUCAAUAUAGCCACGCGCACAGAGUAGGAAAGAUUUAUCAUUCAACUACGAACCGCCCUCGCGAAUCCACUACGAGGAGGGAAAAAAAUAGUAAGAAUUACUACGUCGCCACAGUGUUAAGGGUUCUUGUCGCCCAUUUCGCAGGUUUUUUAUCAGAAACGUUGUAAUUUUCGUGUCGUUUAUAAAUAUAAUUUCUCAAUUGCUUUUUUUACAGUUGAUCACAGUCAAAUUCCAAGAGCUCUCGAAUACAAGUAUCGCCGAUCCGCCGACACGUUUGAAUAUUUACUGUGAAAGAACAGGCACUACGGGGGCUGGGUAGGUCCAAUCGAUGCGGACAAUUGCAAGCACACCUAUUCUAUUGUUUAUCUUCUACAAGUGCGGAUCGUCUCGUUUGUUGCGAAUACUCUUUCGUCGGGAAUUAAAGGGGGAAAGCGGCGGCUCGAAGAAACCCCCGUGAGACGAGGCGCGUCUGUCGAUGCGGAAGAAAAUAAUCAAGAGAUGACGAUUCGUGUCUUAUUCCGCAAUGACUCAAGGUGAAAGGCAUAUAAUUCCAGAGAUUGUAGCGCUCCGAAAAGGGCGGUAUAGCGCGGUAGCAGUGGUCGUGCCUCCUGCAGCAUCGGUCCACGUGAUCCAACGCCCCGAGCUCCUUAAUCGGAGGCAACGAAAGGAACGCGCAUUCAAAGAUUAAUGAGAGUCGAUUCGAAACUCGAAAAUUGUGGCGUUAAAAAAAGCUCCAAAGACAUUUUCAAAUGGUUUUCCGUCCCGAUUUUACCGGUACUGGCAUGCAACGAGUGUCAACGCGGAAUGCAGCCGCGUUUGGAACGGUUCGAGGUCGUCGUCAACAACGACGUUGUCCCCUGCGUUAAGCGUCUAUGAAAUGUCGAUAAAUUCGUGAGAAGAUUGUCCCCAUUGUUCAUUAAAUGAUUUAGGAAAUGUUCAA
rnacentral:lncRNA from 1 species